UUUCCGUAGGUGAACCUGCGGAAGGAUCAUUAUUGUAUAACCGAGGUGCGAGGGCUGUCGCUGACCCGAAAGGUCGUGCACGCCCGAGUGCCCUCACACACAUCCAUCUCACCCCUAUGUGCACCACCGCGUGGGUCCGCCUUUGGCUUGUUCGGAGGGGGGCUUACGUUUUCACACAAACUUUGUAUGCAGUGUAGAAUGUAUUUUUUGUUUUUGCGAUCACGCAAUCAAUACAACUUUCAACAACGGAUCUCUUGGCUCUC
rnacentral:misc_RNA from 1 species